rnacentral:rRNA from 1 species
CCUACGGGAGGCAGCAGUGAGGAAUAUUGGUCAAUGGACGCGAGUCUGAACCAGCCAAGUAGCGUGAGGGAUGACUGCCCUAUGGAUUGUAAACUUCUUUUAUAUGGGAAUAAAAUGUUCCACGUGUGGGGUUUUGUGUGUACCCUAUGAAUAAGCAUCGGCUAACUCCGUGCCAGCAGCCGCGGUAAUACGGAGGAUCCGAGCGUUAUCCGGAUUUAUUGGGUUUAAAGGGGGCGCGGGUGGAUGUUAAAGUAGGUGGUAAAAUUUGGCGGCUAAACGUAAAAGUGCCGUUGAAACUGGUAGUCUUGAGUACAGGAGAGGUGGGCGGAAUGCGUGGUGUAGCGGUGAAAUGCUUAGAUAUCACGAAGAACUCCGAUUGCGAAGGCAGCAUGCUGCAGCGGAACUGACGCUGAUGCUCGAAAGCGCGGGUAUCGAACAGGAUUAGAUACCCUUGUAGUC